rnacentral:rRNA from 1 species
GACGAACGCUGGCGGCGUGCUUAACACAUGCAAGUCGAACGGAAAGGCCCUGCUUUUGUGGGGUGCUCGAGUGGCGAACGGGUGAGUACACGUGAGUAACCUGCCCUUGACUUUGGGAUAACUUCAGGAAACUGGGGCUAAUACCGGAUAGGAGCUCCUGCUGCAUGGUGGGGGUUGGAAAGUUUCGGCGGUUGGGGAUGGACUCGCGGCUUAUCAGCUUGUUGGUGGGGUAGUGGCUUACCAAGGCUUUGACGGGUAGCCGGCCUGAGAGGGUGACCGGCCACAUUGGGACUGAGAUACGGCCCAGACGCCUACGGGAGGCAGAAGUGGGGAAUAUUGCACAAUGGGCGGAAGCCUGAUGCGGCAACGCCGCGUGGGGGAUGACGGCCUUCGGGUUGUAAACCGCUUUCGCCUGUGACGAAGCGUGAGUGACGGUAAUGGGUAAAGAAGCACCGGCUAACUACGUG